rnacentral:tRNA from 1 species
AGCCCAGUUGGUAGAGCAGUUGACUUUUAAUCAAUUGGUCGCAGGUUCGAUUCCUGCA